CACGGUGGAUGCCUUGGCACUAGAAGCCGACGAAGGACGUUACUAACGACGAUAUGCUUUGGGGAGCUGUAAGUAAGCUUUGAUCCAGAGAUUUCCGAAUGGGGAAACCCAGCACGAGUUAUGUCGUGUUAUCUGCAUGUGAAUACAUAGCAUGCAAGAAGGCAGACCCGGAGAACUGAAACAUCUUAGUACCCGGAGGAAGAGAAAGAAAAAUCGAUUCCCUGAGUAGCGGCGAGCGAAACGGGAAGAGCCCAAACCAAUAAGCUUGCUUAUUGGGGUUGUAGGACACUCUGUACGGAGUUACAAAAGAAUUUGUUAGACGA
rnacentral:rRNA from 1 species